CUGAAAUGAUGAGAUUCCACUUCAUUGGUCCGUGUUUCUGAAGCACAUGAUAACAGUGCAAGUUCUGAUUGG
rnacentral:snoRNA from 1 species